ensembl:lncRNA
CAGAGGAAUCCAGCAGCUCCUGUCUGAAGAGACUGAAGCCCUCUCUCGUAAAUCCUCACACCCUCAGCCUCUAAGAGCUAAGGAUUCGUGCUUUGUGGGGAAGAUGCAGCCUCCGUUGAUGCUCAUAUCAAGGUGCUAAAUGAUCAGCACAGGACGCUACAUCCUGACACAGCACUGGUGAAAGACCGCAUGACAAAAACCUUUGCAUGGAGACGUCGAGAGGUAGCUGAAGGAAUGUGUACUGUGGACCUAUUAAAGAGAUAUCCAUUCCUGGGGACAUCUGCAGGGUUGUGUGAUGAGGUUGAUUUAAUGCAUCCCUGCCAAGACAACAUCUGUUGCCGCUUUAGCGAGAACUUCACUGCUGUUCUUCAAAAUGUUCUUCAAAUGACCAAGGAUUUGCCACUGAAGAAGGUCUACAUGGAGGCAAGAGAGAAUGCACUGGCUGAAGACAUUACAGGAAUUGACUUCAAGGGGGCACUUCUCCUCUUGCCAUCCAUCUUCAAGGAGAAGAUAGAAAAUUUCAUCAUCCUUGGAGAGGUAAAUGCAUGAUGCAAUGCAUAGCCUUUGGCCACAAGUUUCAUUCUCGGUGUUUUGUUGGCAUGGAGCUGAAUUCAGCUGCGGUUCAGCAUCA